rnacentral:misc_RNA from 1 species
GAUGAAGACGCAGCGAAAUGCGAUACGUAAUGUGAAUUGCAGAAUUCAGUGAAUCAUCGAGUCUUUGAACGCACAUUGCGCCCCCUGGUAUUCCGGGGGGCAUGCCUGUCCGAGCGUCAUUGCUGCCCUCAAGCACGGCUUGUGUGUUGGGCCUCCGUCCUCCUCCCGGGGGACGGGCCCGAAAGGCAGCGGCGGCACCGCGUCCGGUCCUCGAGCGUAUGGGGCUUCGUCACCCGCUCUUGUAGGCCCGGCCGGCGCUUGCCGACACAUCAAUCUUUUUUCCAGGUUGACCUCGGAUCAGGUAGGGAUACCCGCUGAACUUAAGCAUAUCAAAAGCGGAGGA